rnacentral:rRNA from 1 species
UAAGGAAUAUUGGUCAAUGGACGCAAGUCUGAACCAGCCAUGCCGCGUGAAGGAUUAAGGUCCUCUGGAUUGUAAAACUUCUUUUAUCUGGGACGAAAAAAGGCGAUUCUUCGUCACUUGACGGUACCAGAUGAAUAAGCACCGGCUAACUCCGUGCCAGCAGCCGCGGUAAUACGGAGGGUGCAAGCGUUAUCCGGAUUCACUGGGUUUAAAGGGUGCGUAGGCGGGCAGGUAAGUCAGUGGUGAAAAUCCUGGAGCUUAACUCCAGAACUGCCAUUGAUACUAUCUGUCUUGAAUAUUGUGGAGGUAAGCGGAAUAUGUCAUGUAGCGGUGAAAUGCUUAGAUAUGACAUAGAACACCUAUUGCGAAGGCAGCUUACUACGCAUAUAUUGACGCUGAGGCACGAAAGCGUGGGGAUCAAACAGGAUUAGAUACCCUGGUAGUCCACGCCCUAAACGAUGGAUACUCGACAUACGCGAUACACUGUGUGUGUCUGAGCG